GAGGGGAUAGCUCAGUGGUAGAGUACAUGCUUAGCAUGCACAAGAUCCUGGGUUCAAUCCCCAGUACCUCUA
rnacentral:tRNA from 1 species